AUACUCUCGCUCUCUCCGUCUUUUGCUGCUGCAGAACGGACCGUAAAGCUUCACGCCUUCAUCCUCUUCUUCCCUGCCAGACCGGGAACUCCGAUCAAGUCAAAGCUCUACUUCUGAGAUCCCUUGCCCCGGCUAGCAGAGAAAGAACCAUUUCCUGGAACAACACCUGUUUCCCCGUCAUCCAGCUGGGCCACAGAGAGUUUUCCACAAACAAGUGAACAAGCUGAAAUCCAUCCAUCAGUAGAAAGGACAGUUUUUGAGGAGCUCAUUGGCAUUUAGACCUGAGGAGAGACACUCCACGCAACCGACAGUGUCCUCAAGUGGGAAGGACUUCUCUACCCACUGCUCUUUGGAGCUACUACAGUAGAGGUGCUUCUUUCUUGGGUUGCUGGCUGAGGUGUUAUACCCAGGUGCACGUGUGCAGGCUUUCAUUGCUGACAACUGGCACAUGAUCUGAGAACAUCAAAUUGGAGGGAUUCUACCUUUCGUCUGAGAUCGAGCACGUCCUCGUUGGUGCUAUCGAGUCAUACGGUUUUAC